rnacentral:rRNA from 1 species
ACGCUCGACACCUACGGGAGGUAGCAGUGAGGAAUAUUGGUCAAUGGACGCAAGUCUGAACCAGCCAUGCCGCGUGCAGGAUGACGGCUCUAUGAGUUGUAAACUGCUUUUGUACGAGGGUAAACGCAGAUACGUGUAUCUGUCUGAAAGUAUCGUACGAAUAAGGAUCGGCUAACUCCGUGCCAGCAGCCGACGGUAAUCUGAGCGGGCUGGCAAGGC